UAGGGAAUCUUCGGCAAUGGACGGAAGUCUGACCGAGCAACGCCGCGUGAGUGAAGAAGGUUUUCGGAUCGUAAAGCUCUGUUGUAAGAGAAGAACGAGUGUGAGAGUGGAAAGUUCACACUGUGACGGUAUCUUACCAGAAAGGGACGGCUAACUACGUGCCAGCAGCCGCGGUAAUACGUAGGUCCCGAGCGUUGUCCGGAUUUAUUGGGCGUAAAGCGAGCGCAGGCGGUUUGAUAAGUCUGAAGUUAAAGGCUGUGGCUUAACCAUAGUACGCUUUGGAAACUGUUUAACUUGAGUGCAAGAGGGGAGAGUGGAAUUCCAUGUGUAGCGGUGAAAUGCGUAGAUAUAUGGAGGAACACCGGUGGCGAAAGCGGCUCUCUGGCUUGUAACUGACGCUGAGGCUCGAAAGCGUGGGGAGCAAACAGGAUUAGAUACCCUGGUAGUCCACGCCGUAAACGAUGAGUGCUAGGUGUUAGACCCUUUCCGGGGUUUAGUGCCGUAGCUAACGCAUUAAGCACUCCGCCUGGGGAGUACGACCGCAAGGUUG
rnacentral:rRNA from 1 species